rnacentral:lncRNA from 1 species
CUCUGUGCUCCACCAGAGCCCAGCUGUACCUUGGUUUCCACAGUUUCCACAUCAGCUCGUAGCAAUCUUCAAACCCUGCCAGGGAGACACCACCGUGCCUGGCUGGAGCCCCCUGGCUUGCAACAUCCCCUGGAAUCUGCAGCCCCAUGAGAUUGAGUAAUUCAACAAACAGUUACUGAGUGCCUACUGUGUGCAAGCACUCUUUGGGGACCUCAAGAUACAGCAGUGAACGAGAUCGAUAAAAAUCUGGAACUUGUCUUCAGUUUGGCGUGGGCGGAGCAGACAGACCACGCAUGCGUCGCGGGGGGAUAAAUGCUAAAGAAAAAACAUCACACAGGACAAGGGGAGAGAGCGACAGGACACAGUGCUGUUCUGUACAGGCUGGUCAGCGAAGGUGACGACUGAGUCAAUCCUGGGGCAUGGGAAGUCGCUUCUCUCAUGGUGACAGGGAAGGAAGGAGGAAAGGAAGACGGGGAUGCUGUUUAGUUUGUGGAAGAGCAAGGUCUGGACAACUUGUUUUAACCCUGAAUUGUUUCCAGUCAGAUAGCAACUGCUCAGCGAGCGGAUACCGUGGAGCCAGGUGCCUCGCGGGUGCGGGGGAGAUAGUGGGAAUCAGACGUCCCGCCCUGGAGGAACUGGUUGUCGCGUGGGGGAGACGGAGCUGGAAACAGACCAUGAGUGUGAGAGGGACACUACUCCACCGUGUUUGCAAAGGCACCAAGCAGAGCAAGAGAACGACAUGCUUGGGGCCAGCUGGGAAGUGGUGUUUUUCAUAUUACGCCCCGUGCAUGAAGGAGACAGAAGACAGUGCAUGUACAUGGUGGGAGAGACGGUCCACGGAAGUGGUUGUUUGUUUCAGAGGAGAUGGGUUGACAGUUUUUUCCCCCUCUUUCAAGCUUAUCAGACUGCUAUCCCGUCGCCUUUUGACUUCCAUUUUCUCUGAGAGGAAAGUCGUCCCUAGAGACGAGCGAUGUGCUGGCAAAUCUUCAAUUCCUGGCAUUCUGGCGGAAAGGAGGAAGGAAGUCCUGACUUGUAGCAGUUGCCAAUUUCUGUGGCACAAAUUGUGCUACCACCUCUGAUCUCCAGCUGCCAACGUGACAUCGCUGGCUUUGGAAACGGGAAGAGACGCCAGCAGCACCCCAUUCUACAGUCCUUCCAGCAUCCAGUUACAGUAGAUGCAAAAUCCUCGGUAGCAUGGGUAAUUGUAAACUGUAGGAAAAUAAUCAGGAAGGAAUGAAUUAUGAGUAUUUAUCAUCUUUUUUUAAUAUAACUUUUAAUUGUAAGUUUACGUAAUUUAAUUUUUAAGUAAUGACUGUGUUUAACAACUUACUUCCAAAAUUUCUGAACAAAGAGCAAUCAGCUCUCACGGUCUGGUCC